GAUGAACGCUAGCGGGAGGCUUAACACAUGCAAGUCGAGGGGCAGCAUAGGGUAGCAAUACUCUGAUGGCGACCGGCAAACGGGUGAGUAACGCGUAUGCAACCUACCCUGUACAGGGGGAUAACCCGGAGAAAUUCGGACUAAUAUCCCGUAAUAAUAUCCGGAGGCAUCUUUGGAUAUUUAAAGUUCCGACGGUACGGGAUGGGCAUGCGUAACAUUAGCUGGUUGGUAAGGUAACGGCUUACCAAGGCUAUGAUGUUUAGGGGUCCUGAGAGGGUGGUCCCCCACACUGGUACUGAGACACGGACCAGACUCCUACGGGAGGCAGCAGUGGGGAAUAUUGGUCAAUGGGCGCAAGCCUGAACCAGCCAUCCCGCGUGCAGGAAGACGGCCCUAUGGGUUGUAAACUGCUUUUCCAGGGAGAGAAACUUACGCACGUGUUGCGUGACUGACGGUACCCUGGGAAUAAGCAUCGGCUAACUCCGUG
rnacentral:rRNA from 1 species